rnacentral:lncRNA from 1 species
AUAAUUUUAAAAUUAAGCACAUGAAUUAAAGUGAAACAUUUCUAAAUUCAACACAGAAAAGUCUUAAAUUACAUAAACAAAAUUAUCUAAUUUUUCAACGGGUCAGAUUAGAGUUCGACCCGAAUUAAAAAAAAAAACACACAGAACCAAACAUUUGUGUUGAGUUGUUGACCCGUAUCAUGAACACCCGUAGUUAAAGUAACA